rnacentral:rRNA from 1 species
UACGUAGGUGGCAAGCGUUGUCCGGAUUUACUGGGCGUAAAGGGCGUGCAGGCGGUCUGUUAAGUCUAGGGUGAAAGCUCCCGGCUCAACUGGGAGAGGUCCUUGGAUACUGGCGGACUUGAGGGAGGCAGAGGAGAAUAGAAUUCCCGGUGUAGUGGUGAUAUGCGUAGAUAUCGGGAGGAAUACCAGUGGCGAAGGCGGUUCUCUGGGCCUUACCUGACGCUGAAACGCGAAAGCGUGGGGAGCGAACAGG